AUCCCAAUAUACGAUACACAAGGCCAGCAGCAGACCACUGGUAAAAUCAACCAUUAGACCAUGCCCAACAAACAAUGUGCCAUCUUACUAACUGAAAUAAAACAACAUAGUAUGAUAGAUGAACAUAAUUUCCCUGACCCAAUCAGAGGGCAGGAUAUUCUUGCAGUAGGAGAGCUCAAUCAUCAAGAUAAAAGUUGUUCUCUUUUAAUUCCAGCAAAUCUUUGAUGCACUUCCAUGUAGAUAGACAAGCAACAAUUCUCUCAGAGACAGACAGAAUGCAAUCCAAAUACAAUCAAGUUGAUAUUACUCCUAGUAGAAUCCAUCCUCCGAUUCAGCAACAAAUAUACUUUACUGAGUCAUCACCAGCUUCCCAGACAUACUGCUGCCUGAGGAUGAUCAGUUCUACUCUCAGUACCUGGCCCGAUCAUCAUCACGCUUGUCAUUUUCGUAUCUUCUCCUCUCAUUUGAUCGGGAAUCACCAUAUCUUGCUCUCUUAGAGUAAUCCAUUUGUUUGUCCCUAUCAUGACUUUUACUUCCUCGCUCUUCUUCCUCACCUCUUCCACGCCUUCGGCUUUCAUACCUUUGGUCAUCAUCAACUUUUACAUGCUUUCCAUAUUUGUCAUUAUGCUCUUCAUCUCUUUUGUACUUUCUCUCUUUAUGUUCCUCUUCAUCCCUGUGGUGCCUCAUCCCCUU
rnacentral:misc_RNA from 1 species